CCUACGGGGGGCUGCAGUGAGGAAUAUUGGUCAAUGGCCGAGAGGCUGAACCAGCCAAGUCGCGUGAGGGAUGACGGCCCUACGGGUUGUAAACCUCUUUUGUCGGGGAGCAAAGAGAGUCACGUGUGGCUCAUUGGGAGUACCCGAAGAAAAAGCAUCGGCUAACUCCGUGCCAGCAGCCGCGGUAAUACGGAGGAUGCGAGCGUUAUCCGGAUUUAUUGGGUUUAAAGGGUGCGCAGGCGGGAGAUCAAGUCAGCGGUAAAAUGUCGGGGCUCAACCCCGGCCGGCCGUUGAAACUGGUUUUCUAGAGUUGGAGAGAAGUAUGCGGAAUUCGUGGUGUAGCGGUGAAAUGCUUAGAUAUCACGAAGAACCCCGAUUGCGAAGGCAGCCUGCCGCAGCGUUACUGACGCUGAAGCUCGAAAGCGCGGGUAUCGAACAGGAUUAGAUACCCGAGUAGUC
rnacentral:rRNA from 1 species